rnacentral:rRNA from 1 species
GAGUUUGAUCCUGGCUCAGGGCGAACGCUGGCGGCGGGCUUAACACAUGCAAGUCGUACGCGGGGUUCUCCUUCGGGAGGACUGCCGAGUGGCGAACGGGUGCGUAACGCGUAGGCAACCUGCCCUCGAGUGGGGGAUAACCCCGGGAAACCGGGGCUAAUACCGCAUAUUGUCUUGGAACCGCAUGGUGCCAAGAUGAAAGCCUUUGGGCGCUCGAGGAUGGGCCUGCGUCGGAUUAGCUAGUUGGUGAGGUAAUGGCUCACCAAGGCGACGAUCCGUAGCUGGUCUGAGAGGGCGGCCAGCCACACUGGCACUGAGACACGGGCCAGACUCCUACGGGAGGCAGCAGUGAGGAAUCUUGGGCAAUGGGCGAAAGCCUGACCCAGCCACGCCGCGUGGAGGAUGAAGCCCUUCGGGGUGUAAACUCCUUUUCUGGGGGAAGAAAUCUUGGCAUUUGUCGGGAGUGACGGUACCCCAGGAAUAAGCGCCGGCUAACUCCGUGCCAGCAGCCGCGGUAAUACGGAGGGCGCAAGCGUUGCCCGGAAUCACUGGGUGUAAAGGGUGCGUAGGCGGGGCUGUAAGUCAGAGGUGAAAUCCCCCGGCUUAACCGGGGAAUUGCCUCUGAUACUGCAGCUCUUGAGUCCCGGAGAGGCCGCUGGAAUUCCUGGUGUAGCGGUGAAAUGCGUAGAUAUCAGGAGGAACACCAGAGGCGAAGGCGGGCGGCUAGACGGGAACUGACGCUGAGGCACGAAAGCGUGGGGAGCAAACAGGAUUAGAUACCCUGGUAGUCCACGCUGUAAACGAUGGAUGCUCGGCGUUGCUGCCUUCGGGUGGCAGUGCCUAAGCUAACGCGGUAAGCUCCCACCUG